UGGGGAAUAUUGGACAAUGGGCGCAAGCCUGAUCCAGCCAUGCCGCGUGAGUGAUGAAGGCCCUAGGGUUGUAAAGCUCUUUCACCGGUGAAGAUAAUGACGGUAACCGGAGAAGAAGCCCCGGCUAACUUCGUGCCAGCAGCCGCGGUAAUACGAAGGGGGCUAGCGUUGUUCGGAUUUACUGGGCGUAAAGCGCACGUAGGCGGACUUUUAAGUCAGGGGUGAAAUCCCGGGGGCUCAACCCCGGAACUGCCUUUGAUACUGGAAGUCUUGAGUAUGGUAGAGGUGAGUGGAAUUCCGAGUGUAGAGGUGAAAUUCGUAGAUAUUCGGAGGAACACCAGUGGCGAAGGCGGCUCACUGGACCAUUACUGACGCUCAGGUGCGAAAGCGUGGGGAGCAAACAGGAUUAGAUACCCUGGUAGUCCACGCUGU
rnacentral:rRNA from 1 species